GUCACGAGUCUAGUUAGGGCUUGGACACGGCGUAGUGUCUGAGGGGUGACUCGGGCUGGGAUCGUGGGUGUCCAUGUGAGUCCAUGCAAAGACAACGAAGACCAUUCUUAAAUAACAGAGGAUUAUGCUGCCUGUGUGCUCUCAAGAUUGAGGAAGCCUACAAAGCCCCAAGGUUUAGCUAGACUAGAUGGUUGAAGACAGAACUCCAAGAUAUGCACUGUACGUUCUCAACGAGAAAGACAGAAAGACUAACCACAAUCUCUUCCGAAACCAUUUGGGUUGCAGACAACGGUAGACACAAAUACAGAAUUAAGAACAACAUGGCUGUGUCAAGGCCGUAGCACCCCAGGUAUGCUGCGACUAACCAAGGCUUGCGACAUACAGAGUCCUACAUACAGACUAACAGAGCCGUCCAGAGAGG